AUACGAAAGGUGCAAGCGUUGUUCGGAUUUACUGGGCGUAAAGAGAUCGUAGGUGGUUUGAUAAGUUGGAUGUGAAAUCCCGGGGCUCAACCUCGGAACUGCAUCCAAAACUGUCAGACUUGAGUUCGGGAGGGGUAAGCGGAAUUCCGUGUGUAGCAGUGAAAUGCGUAGAUAUACGGAGGAACACCUGAGGCGAAGGCGGCUUACUGGACCGAUACUGACACUGAGGAUCGAAAGCGUGGGUAGCAAACAGGAUUAGAUACCCUAGUAGUCC
rnacentral:rRNA from 1 species